rnacentral:rRNA from 1 species
UACGGAGGGUGCAAGCGUUAUCCGGAUUCACUGGGUUUAAAGGGUGCGUAGGAGGACUGGUAAGUCAGUGGUGAAAUCCCCGAGCUUAACUUGGGAACUGCCGUUGAUACUAUCAGUCUUGAAUACCGUGGAGGUGAGCGGAAUAUGUCAUGUAGCGAUGAAAUGCUUAGAUAUGACAUAGAACACCAAUUGCGAAGGCAGCUCGCUACACGAAUAUUGACUCUGAGGCACGAAAGCGUGGGGAUCAAACAGG